CAAAGUGCUUACAGUGCAGGUAGUUAAAAGAAAUCUACUGCAGUGAAGGCACUUUCAGC
rnacentral:pre_miRNA from 1 species